rnacentral:lncRNA from 1 species
CUCUAUAAGGAACGUAUGUAUUAGUCUGCUGGCAGGAAUUGUUUUGGGAUUUUUUUGUUCGAUAUUUUCCAAGUGAAGACCAGAAAAAACUUACAUUGAAGAGAGGAUUCCUUGUUUUGACUACGUGUGUUUCUGCUGUCUUAGGCAGCCAACGUAUUGGUUUACAUGGAUCUGGAGGAUUAUGCACACUAGUGUUGAGUUUCAUUGCAGGGACAAAAUGGUCCCAAGAAAAGAUGAAAGUCCAAAAGAUUAUUACAAAUGUAUGGGAUAUUUUUCAACCACUUCUUUUUGGUUUAGUUGGAGCAGAAGUAU